rnacentral:rRNA from 1 species
CAGAAUCCCGCCUAGACGUAACGAUACCGUAGCGCCGCAUCGCUUCGGUCGGACUCCGAUACCCGACUCCGGUCGGCGAGGAGCGCCUUCCGUGACUGGGCUGGGGCGUGGCCGGACGAUGGUCACCCCUCUCCUAUCGCGCACAGCAUGUUCGUGGAGAACGUGGUGCUAAAUGACUUGCAGACGACCUGAUUCUGGGUCAGGGUUUCGUACGUNGCAGAGCAGNNCCCUCGNUGCGAUC